UGACCUCAGAUCAGGUGGGACUACCCGCUGAACUUAAGCAUAUCAAUAAGCGGAGGAAAAGAAACUAACAAGGAUUCCCCUAGUAACUGCGAGUGAAGCGGGAAAAGCUCAAAUUUAAAAUCUGGCGUCUUCGGSCGUCCGAGUUGUAGUUUAGAGAAGCGUUUUCCGCGCCGGACCGUGUACAAGUCUCCUGGAACGGAGCGUCAUAGAGGGUGAGAAUCCCGUCUUUGACACGGACUACCGGUGCUCUGUGAUGCGCUCUCGAAGAGUCGAGUUGUUUGGGAAUGCAGCUCAAAAUGGGUGGUGAAUUCCAUCUAAAGCUAAAUAUUGGCGAGAGACCGAUAGCGAACAAGUACCGUGAGGGAAAGAUGAAAAGCACUUUGGAAAGAGAGUUAAACAGUACGUGAAAUUGUUGAAAGGGAAACGCUUGAAGUAAGUCSCGUUCGCCGGGAAUCAACCUUGCUUCGGCUCGGUGUACUUCCCGGUGUACGGGCCAGCAUCACUUUUGAUCGUCGGAAAAGGGCGAGGGAAAGGUGGCACCUUCGGGUGUGUUAUAGUCCCUUGUCGUAUACGAUGGUUGGGAGUGAGGAACUCAGCACGCCUUACGGUCGGGGUUNGCCCACGUUCGUGCUUAGGAUGCUGGCGUAAUGGCUUUAAACGACCCGUCUUGAAACACGGACCAAGGAGUCUAACAUGCCCGCGAGUGUUCGGGUGGAAAACCCGUGCGCGUAAUGAAAGUGAAAGUUGGGACCUCUAUCGUGGAGGGCACCGACGCCCGGACCAGACCUUCUGUGACGGUUCUGCGGUAGAGCGUGUAUGUUGGGACCCGAAAGAUGGUGAACUAUGCCUGAAUAGGGUGAAGCCAGAGGAAACUCUGGUGGAGGCUCGUAGCGAUUCUGACGUGCAAAUCGAUCGUCAAAUUUGGGUAUAGGGGCGAAAGACUAAUCGAACCAUCUAGUAGCUG
rnacentral:rRNA from 1 species